GCUGGCGGUCCGCCACGGCAUGCCAGGCGGCAGGGUCGAGCGGUACUCCCUGGUGCUGUCCGACGGCCUGCACACAAUGGAGAUCAAGCUCAUCACGCCCCUAAGGCAUCUCGUCAGGGACGGCUGUGUCCGCCGGGCCUCCGUCGUGCGCUUCCUCUGGUACUGCAGCAUCUUCGAGAGUAAUAGGUUAACCAAACACACGGCUACAGGGCACCAUGCUAUAAGUCGUUCCAUCUACUGGACUCCAAGUGAUGGCUCUCCAUUCAGAUGUAUUCAGUGGUUUGGCUAUUGUGGUCUCAUAUCUGAAUCGGACCACUGUUAUUAUUAGUGGACUUGGUAUCGGCAUCCUACUACAGUUUGACAAGUCAGUGUGCCACGCGUUGGAUAAGCAUGUCAAGAGCAGGGUGUACUUCAAGAGGUGAUCAACGCAGACUACCACGACCCGGUGGGCGUCGUUCUCUUCAACAACUUGGAGGCGGAUUUUGACAUGAAGCCCGACGACCGCGUCACACAGAUGAUUGUCUAGGUGAUUGCAAUACCGGAGGUUGUCGAGGUGGAGGACCUUGACGUCACCGUCCGGAGGUCGUCGAGACAGAGGACCUCGACGCCACCAUCUCGAGGUUGCCGAGGUGGAGGACCUCGACACCACCUUCUCGAGGUUGCCGAGGUGAAGGACCUCGACGCCUUGGUAGAUACAUUUAGAGAAGUGGUCAUGUUAGGUUGGUGGUGGAAUGCUAGGGAAGGUACCCACCUUUCGGUGACAGUUGUGUGCA